rnacentral:rRNA from 1 species
GACGAACGCUGGCGGCGUGCUUAACACAUGCAAGUCGAACAGAAAGGCCCUGCUUGCAGGGUACUCGAGUGGCGAACGGGUGAGUAACACGUGGGUGAUCUGCCCUGCACUUCGGGAUAAGCCUGGGAAACUGGGUCUAAUACCGGAUAGGAGCCAUUUUUAGUGUGAUGGUUGGAAAGUUUUUUCGGUGUAGGAUGAGCUCGCGGCCUAUCAGCUUGUUGGUGGGGUAAUGGCCUACCAAGGCGGCGACGGGUAGCCGGCCUGAGAGGGUGGACGGCCACAUUGGGACUGAGAUACGGCCCAGACUCCUACGGGAGGCAGCAGUGGGGAAUAUUGCACAAUGGGCGCAAGCCUGAUGCAGCGACGCCGCGUGGGGGAUGACGGCCUUCGGGUUGUAAACUCCUUUCGCUAGGGACGAAGCUUUUGUGACGGUACCUAGAUAAGAAGCACCGGCUAACUACGUG